GGACCAGGUCAGGACUCCCGCACCAAUUGGUAGUGGGACUGUUCCUGAGCAAUAUAGCAAGAUCUUGGUUCUUAAAAGUAAUAAUACAGAACAGCUUAUUUCCCUCUGGGAAUGGGCUGGCUCAGGGCUACACAGUGAGGGUGGGGGCAGAGGUGGGCCCCCAGUACUUCCCUUGUUGGGUUGUCUGAGGACCCCUCUGGCCUAGAGGAGACGGAGGAGGACAUCUGGACAGUGAGGAGGAGGAGACACCUUGGCCCAUGGUGAACAUCCCAGAGGACCGGGAGAGCCUGGAGGCCAGGUGAGCCUGACUUUCCCUGUCCCUACUUUGUCACCUUCCUCGGUGGUCCCUCCCAGAUCCCCUUAUGUUCUUGGUUUCCCUGCCUUCUGAUUUCUGUGGACUUUCACUCCUUCUGGGAGCCAGUGGUCAGACACCUUUUCACCUGUGACCAACAGGUGCACACUCUGAGCCCCAAGGGAAGGGGCUGCGCUCCACCUCCCUGCCCCGGUUGUUCUCUGUGUGUCCCUACAAAAAUACUCACCUGUUGUCUUCAGGUGGCAUUUUUCAGUGACGCUGGAGCCAGUGCCCAGGAAGAGCAAAGGGUGUGCUGCCAGCCCCUGGCUCACCCAGUGGCUUCAUCCCAGAGGACCCCAGGGACUGGGGAGUGACUUU
rnacentral:lncRNA from 1 species